rnacentral:tRNA from 1 species
AUAAUUUAAGUUGAACAUAUAAACUUAUGAAUUUAUUAAAUAAAUAAUAUACAUCGUAGUAAAUACUCAACCCCUCCUAAGGGACAGGUCGUAGGUUCGAAUCCUACUGGGGGCGCCA